UAGGGAAUCUUCCACAAUGGACGCAAGUCUGAUGGAGCAACGCCGCGUGAGUGAAGAAGGUUUUCGGAUCGUAAAGCUCUGUUGUUGGUGAAGAAGGAUAGAGGCAGUAACUGGUCUUUUAUUUGACGGUAAUCAACCAGAAAGUCACGGCUAACUACGUGCCAC
rnacentral:rRNA from 1 species